rnacentral:misc_RNA from 1 species
ACGUCAUCGAUAGUCGACUAUCUCGAUCGUGGACUUCCCUCGGUAUUGCCCGCGCCCGCGCUCAGCAAUAAGCGCGUCGUUUGGGUUUCACCGAUAUGAGCCGGUGUUUCCGCGAGCGAUUACUCGCUCGGGGGCCAAUCGUCGAUUAGCCAUGCAGCACCUGUGCUAGCCCUGUAACGACACGGGCUUUCACCCGCUUUAACUAGCAUGUCAAGCCCAGGUAAGGUUCUUCGCGUUGCAUCGAAUUAAGCCACAUGCUCCGCCGCUUGUGCGGGUCCCCGUCAAUUCCUUUGAGUUUUAGCCUUGCGGCCGUACUCCCCAGGCGGAGUGCUUAAUGCGUUAGCUGCGGCACAGAGGGGAUUGAGGGCCCCCCCACACCUAGCACUCAACGUUUACGGCU